AGAGUUUGAUCCUGGCUCAGGACGAACGCUGGCGGCGUGCCUAACACAUGCAAGUCGAACGAGAAUCUUUGGAAUGAUUCUUUCGGGAUGAAUUCUAAAGAGGAAAGUGGCGGACGGGCGAGUAACGCGUGAGUAACCUGCCCAUAAGAGGGGGAUAAUCCAUGGAAACGUGGACUAAUACCGCAUAUUGUAGUUAAGUUGCAUGACUUGAUUAUGAAAGAUUUAUCGCUUAUGGAUGGACUCGCGUCAGAUUAGAUAGUUGGUGAGGUAACGGCUCACCAAGUCAACGAUCUGUAGCCGAACUGAGAGGUUGAUCGGCCGCAUUGGGACUGAGACACGGCCCAGACUCCUACGGGAGGCAGCAGUGGGGAAUAUUGCGCAAUGGGGGCAACCCUGACGCAGCAACGCCGCGUGCAGGAAGAAGGUCUUCGGAUUGUAAACUGUUGUCGCAAGGGAAGAAGACAGUGACGGUACCUUGUGAGAAAGUCACGGCUAACUACGUGCCAGCAGCCGCGGUAAUACGUAGGUGACAAGCGUUGUCCGGAUUUACUGGGUGUAAAGGGCGCGUAGGCGGACUGUCAAGUCAGUCGUGAAAUACCGGGGCUUAACCCCGGGGCUGCGAUUGAAACUGACAGCCUUGAGUAUCGGAGAGGAAAGCGGAAUUCCUAGUGUAGCGGUGAAAUGCGUAGAUAUUAGGAGGAACACCAGUGGCGAAGGCGGCUUUCUGGACGACAACUGACGCUGAGGCGCGAAAGUGUGGGGAGCAAACAGGAUUAGAUACCCUGGUAGUCCACACCGUAAACGAUGGAUACUAGGUGUAGGAGGUAUCGACCCCUUCUGUGCCGCAGUUAACACAAUAAGUAUCCCACCUGGGGAGUACGACCGCAAGGUUGAAACUCAAAGGAAUUGACGGGGGCCCGCACAAGCAGUGGAGUAUGUGGU
rnacentral:rRNA from 1 species